ensembl:ncRNA asRNA:CR45131 antisense RNA:CR45131
AGGCAAUCUGGGUACUUACAGUUCUCACUCUUGGACAGCUGCCCCACUUUGACGUGGUCCAAAUUGCCGCCCAGCAUUUCGGCCACAAUCUCCUCGACGUACUCGCGGAUCUUGGCCCGUUCGUCCAUGUGGGCGUUUUGUCCAAUCUGGCUAACGCUCUCGAAUUCUGCAAGUAUAGACUAGAUAUUCCAAGUACUCCUUUCCCUGAACCGCACUUACGCAUGCUGCUGUCGUUGCCAUCGCCCACAAUCGGUAUAUACACCUCGCUCCUAGCCCUCAUCGGAUAGACAAACUUAUGCUGGUUGAAGGACAUUUGCUCGGCCACCCACGAGGAGGUGUGGGCCAGCGACUCCUUGGAGCUCUGGCACAGCUGGCACUCCCACUUGGCGUCCUUGGGCCGCCAGUCGGCGCAUUUAGGCCCGCGGCAAACCGAUUUUUCGCAGGUGCAACAUGUCACGUAGCUGCAAAAGGUUUUCCCAGAUCAUUAAUUGUAUAAUAUAUUCGCCAGUACCUUUCCAGGUCACUUAAAGAGAUAUUUAUUUAUGAGCUUAGAGCCAUUUAUGGAAAUUUAUUAUUUAGAAUGGAAGGUUUUAGUUCUCGUGGAAUCUCUCGUAAAAAAAGUUAUUUAAAUUUAACUAUACUUGUUUGCAUAAAUAAAUUUGGUUUCUUUUUAGUUCGGUGAACAGAGCAGUAAAUACCUCAACCGAUGCAGGAGAAAGCAACCAAUUCUUUUGCAAAUUAUACUUUGCAAAUGUGUUUGUUCGAAUUAUUUAUUAUAUGGCUAUCAAGAAGCCAGACUGUUGUUCAAACAAACGAAUAGAUUUCGGCAGAAAUGCUGAUAUCAGUAAGAUCAACAAUGUCAAACAGAUCCAGGUCCGCACAGCAGACGUUGCAGGCGUGAUCCUCGCUGCUGGACUCCUCCUUCCUCCACUUCUUAUUGGCUAGUUUGCUGGAAGAGACAAGGCGGAAGGAAGCGCGCGUUAUUUCGAGAAUGUUGGAUGGUGAUGGAAACAAGACGAUUAGUCAGGUCGUUUCUGGCGAUUAGCUGGGGUUAUUCAACGGCCAGAAGGUCAUUGGCUGAAACUCAGCUCAAUUAGUCGGUAGCCAUUGAUCGUGCUACUUCUGGCUUUUGGACCGACGACCACCACUUCCCCCGGCAACUAAAUAGUGGGCAGUCCCCACCCAAACGCAAUUGCAUGGGGCAAUUGACUUUCUCCCGGCUGUUAAAUCCCGCCAAUUGCAUAACAACGCAAACCCGUUGGACCAGGCAAACAAAAAGGCAAUGAGGCUUCGAACCGAGUUUAAUCAACUUAGGCGAAAUGGCCUGGCUUAAAGUAUACAUACAUGUAGCUCUAUCACAAACAACUUACAAUCUAAGAGGCAGUGCGUCUGUCUGCCUCGAUAUGCAUUCGGAUUAUGUCAGUCACUUACAGUUCUUACACAAGAGAGAAGAAGGGAAUUCCUGGGUGUCUUGUACGUGCUCGAAAUGAGAAAUCGCCAAGCGGAUUGCUGCUCAACUUAUUCAAAUGGCAAAAUUCGCAAUUUCGCUUACAAACAAACAAAUAUAAUUUAAGGAAAAAGCCAACCGUAUACGGUCAUCGAAAACAUUACGCUUGCGAAAGAUUCAAAUAACUUGCACAGGCUGUCGAAAGCGAUUGAAAACACAAGGUGUGUAGGAGAGAUGCUCAGUCAGUAUAGCCGCUUAAAACCGAUCUAAUUAAAAAUAUACACUUAUAUUCUAGCCUAAGUCUUCUAUGUGGGCAGAUGCUGCUGCUGCUGUUGGUGCUGUUGCUGCUGUCGCUGUCGAUGGAAUCGCAUCCUCCUGCGCGCCCAGUACUCAUAGUUGUUCUCCAGAUUCUCAUAGUAGAUCUGCUCCUCCCCAUCCGGGCCCCCGUUCUCCUCCCAAUCCUCGGCGGGCGGUCCGAGCACCGGAUCAGUGCUGGUCAACUUGAGCAGCACCACUUCCAUGGUGCAGGCCAUGAAGAGGAAGCCCAGCACCGCGAAGCUGAUGGGCAGGCACAUCAGCCGCUCCACCUGGCACAACACCACCGCGGAGAAGAGCAUUCUCCCUGGAACUCGAUCGACAGCUGGAUCUGUAGUGGAUUCUCUGCCGUGUGGUGUGGUGUGGGGGGCUGUUCUCCAGGUGUCGGGAUCGGGUUUUCAGGUAUUCAAAAUGUUUGUCGACUGAUUAGCGCCGGUGGGCUUGCUGGGAUUUGGCAUGGCACUCGCGUUGAACCGAUUUCGCCAAUGGAAGCACUUAAUGCCAAUUCGCUAUCAAAUCGCGAUCCGCGUCCCACGACACUGACAACUUUCUCGCACAAGGUUCGCCUUUGUUAUGCGCAGUUGGCUUUGAGAGUCGGCGGUCAACAGCUGAGAUCGGGUCUCUAUGGCUCCACAUAGCCAGAGCUAUGGAGCUGUGGCCUCUCCACAGAACCACACUGGCACAGCCACAGCCGUAUCCCAUGCCGGUUUCGAUCGUGGAGAGCGGGAAACCACUGCCUCUCUCUCUCUCUCUCUAGCGCUAAACAAACUCGUCAAUGACGUAAGUUGGAGUCCCCCUGCCCACGAUCCCGUCGGACGGGUCGACAUGUGUAUGUGGCGGAUUGGAAGCAAUGACUGCGCACAUUUCCAUGCAGAUUUAUCGCCUUUCUUCUCCGAUCACUGUGGUCCGAUCAGAUCCAAUCCGAUCUGAUCCAAGAGCUGGAAACCUGGUCGAACAGGAACCGUUUUGGAGGAGAUAUACAUACGUGGUCGAAGAUCAUCGAGCAUCAUCGCCUGUCUGCUGCAUUCAUUUGUCGACUAAUUUAUUUUUGGCCUGAACUUCAUUAAUUUCCAAAUGCUAAUUGUGAGAAACAUUCCGCAAACGAGUUGGCUUGGUUCUUGUCUGGCAAAAUACUAUGUAUAUAAUGUAUGCAUGCUGUGAGCGGUUUAUUAACUAAUCAAUCGACUUCUAGCUGGAUUCGAGUUUUAAUCACUAUUUUGGCAACAAAUGGCGCCACGGUGUUGCCGCUACACUUUCAUCGGCAUAAAGCCCGGGGAACUUUUCGAGCUGCGAUCUCAUGCCUUAAGAUUUCGAGAUUCCCUAGAAAUCUGUGCUGGGAAUCUGGGUUAAUAUAUGUAUGAUGUAUGUAUGUGAGUCUCAUGUGUCCGCCAUUAGCAUAUUCCCGCACAAGAAAGCGUCAAGCCAUCAGGUUGUGUCAGGUUAUUAAUAUCCCAACAGGGCCAGAAGCUUUCACAAAUGCUCCUCUGAUAGCAUAAUCUACAGAAUUUCCCAGAACUUCGAGCCGGAGAUUAAUAAAUUCUUGGUAGAAGCGAGCAAGUGGCAUCGUAAAUUGUUUUAUUGAUAUGAGUGUAAUAAUCUUUUGAUUAUCUCCGAGUUUACUAUCCGGCUUUCGUGAGAUCAUCAUUGACCGUAUCUAAAUGGAUUCAUGAAUUAUCUUGAAUAUCUUAAUUCACCUGGCCAAAUCUUAAAUUUAUUUAAAUUCAAAUAAAACUCAUAUGCCUAAAAGCAUGCUUUAUUACGUAGAAAACGAUUUUCAACAGCCUUAACCAUAAGCAAACUCGAAAACAAUACUGCUCAAUAGUAAGUAAAUAAUAUCGCAUUAGUUUAAACAUUUUCCACAACUUGUUAUUGUUCUCACAAUUGGUUUUGAAAGCACUAAAAAUAUUU